rnacentral:sRNA from 1 species
GAGUAAUGAACUUCACCAAAUAACGCCACGUACUGUGGCGAACGUUGAAGUCGGCACAUCCUGUGCG